AACAGGAUUAGAUACCCUGGUAGUCCACGCCGUAAACGAUGAGUGCUAGGUGUUGGGGGGUUCCGCCCUCUGUGCCGAAGGUAACCCAAUAAGCACUCCGCCUGGGGAGUACGGCCGCAAGGCUGAAACUCAAAGGAAUUGACGGGGGCCCGCACAAGCGGUGGAGCAUGUGGUUUAAUUCGAAGCAACGCGAAGAACCUUACCAGGGCUUGACAUCCCGCUGACCGGUGUAGAGAUGCACCUUCCCUUCGGGGCAGCGGUGACAGGUGGUGCAUGGUUGUCGUCAGCUCGUGUCGUGAGAUGUUGGGUUCAGUCCCGCAACGAGCGCAACCCUUGUCGUCAGUUGCCAGCACAUGAUGGUGGGCACUCUGGCGAGACAGCCGGUGAAAGCCGGAGGAAGGUGGGGAUGACGUCAAAUCAUCAUGCCCCUUAUGUCCUGGGCUACACACGUGCUACAAUGGCCGGUACAACGGGCAGCGAACCCGUGAGGGGGAGCCAAUCCCAAAAAACCGGUCUCAGUUCGGAUCGCAGGCUGCAACUCGCCUGCGUGAAGCUGGAAUCGCUAGUAAUCGCGGAUCAGCAUGCCGCGGUGAAUCCGUUCCCGGGCCUUGUACACACCGCCCGUCACACCACGAGAGUCUGCAACACCCGAAGUCGGUGAGGUAACCUUCGGGAACCAGCCGCCGAAGGUGGGGCAGAUGAUUGGGGUGAAGUCGUAACAAGGUAACC
rnacentral:rRNA from 1 species